rnacentral:rRNA from 1 species
UAUAUUCGGAUUAGCUAGUUGGUAGGGUAAAGGCCUACCAAGGCGACGAUCCGAUAGCUGGUUUGAGAGAAUGAUCAGCCACACUGGGACUGAGACACGGCCCAG